GACGAACGCUGGCGGCGUGCCUAACACAUGCAAGUCGAACGGAGCAGAUCCCUUCGGGGGUUUGCUUAGUGGCGAACGGGUGAGUAACGCGUGAGGAACCUCCCUUUCAGUGGGGGACAACAGUUGGAAACGACUGCUAAUACCGCAUAAUGCUUUUGAGCGGCAUCGCUUGAAAGCCAAAGAUUUAUCGCUGAAAGAUGGUCUCGCGUCUGAUUAGCUAGUUGGUGGGGUAACGGCCUACCAAGGCGACGAUGCACAGCCGACCUGAGAGGGCGAACGGCCACAUUGGGACUGAGACACGGCCCAAA
rnacentral:rRNA from 1 species